rnacentral:rRNA from 1 species
UGAAGAUCGCGGGCAUCGACCGCGAAGACUAAACACUCCUCAAGACCGAUAGCGAACAAGUAGCGUGAGCGAACGCUGAAAAGCACCCCACGAAGGGAGGUGCAAUAGGGCGUGAAAUCAGUUGGCGAUGGAGCGACAGGGCAUACAAGGUCCCGGACACAAUGAAUCAGGUGCAAGCCUGUAGUAAGCCGUUCGGGAAGCCGGUGUUCUGUCGUACGUUUUGAAAAACGAACCAGGGAGUGUGCCUGUUUGACGAGUCUAACCCGAUCAUCGGGGAAGGCGUAGGGAAACCGACAUGGCCGCAGUCUUACGACGAGGGCCGCCGUGUUCAAGCGCGGGGAGUCAAACGGGCACGACCCGAA